AUAAAUGCAAUGAAGAGAAGAGUAAGUGUGUUCAAGCAUAACAGAGAACUCCUGUCGCUGAAAAUGGAGGAUGUAAAGGCACACCGAAUCAAGUCUUGGAGCAGCGCAUAGGAUAUUUCGAUCCAGAGAUUGAUGAUGUGACGGUUUCUCCCGUUAUAGAGAUAGAGUAUACACAUGGCAAUUGGGUUUUGUCGUACUCGAAAAGGUUUCUGUGGCAACACAGAAAUAAACUGGGGUGGUACCGCGAACUUCUAAAUAUAAGGAGUCUCGUCCCCAAG
rnacentral:ncRNA from 1 species